rnacentral:lncRNA from 1 species
CAGGAGUCUAGGCAUGACUUAGGGUCCUCUGAUCAGAGUCUCAAAAGGUGGCUAUCAAGUUGUCGGUCAGAGCUGGGUUCUUGUACGAGGUCUCCUUUCAACCUCAUGUGGUUGUCAGACAACACUCAAUUCCUUGUAGUCGCAGGAUUUGUGGACUUGCUUCUUCAAAGCCAGCCACAGAGAAAGAACAGCAGGGAAGAUUGAGAAAGUCAGUCUCGAAAAAGCACAAGGUUUAAGAAGGCCUGGAAGGGGAGACCUAGCAAGUUGCCAGUUGAGAAGAGUAAUGGUGUGACCUGGGUGACAGCCAGAUCAAGUUGUCUUAUCAGAGCAGCUGACAGAGAAAACAGCUGAACAGACUAAUCCAAAGCAAAGCCCUUACUGUUGCACUGCUAGCCAACCCAGGCAUACCCAAGUCAAUUAAUAAGCCUAAAGAUAAGGAGCAGGGUGAAAAUUUGGGCGCAAAUUGGAAGACAACUGGAGCAGGGCAGGAGGAAGAACAGAUUCCAUAGUGAUGGUUAUUCUGACCUGUGAUCUUUGUUGAACUGAACUGCUUUCUCUAGACACCAUUGUUACCAAAGGAAAUAACACGUUCUCAGUCUACCUUACUGCUUAUCGGUUGUGUGGGUCACAGGAAUUGGGGGUGAGGGACUGCUUUAAAGGAUCAGGAUCAGGGUGAACAAAAACUACUGAGGCUUCAGUGUCAGUUAUCCCAAAGCCCACAUCGAUUGUGUGAUUCUGUAAAUCCUAAACUAAAUAGGAGCAACCGUCUCUGAUAUUUAUUUUGUGCGACUGUCAACCUCAAAUGCCAUCCUGAAUUCUGUAUAUGACAGUCACCAGCCUGCCUGAUACCUCGUUGAUCGACUUUUCCCCAUGCUACCAAGCCAUGCCAGGUGGACAGAACAAUUCUCCAGGGAAGCCAAGAGCUAUCACUUCCUUUUUCUACCUAAUAUAUUUUGUCCCUGAUAAUCCAUUUGUCAUAUCUGACUUUCUCCUUCCUGCUGGCAGCAACCAGAGACCCUCUCAUUACACGACUGCCAGGUUUGCUUCAGCCUGAACUGCUGCAGAAUUAACUUGUCAUGUCCGCUCCACCAUGGGAACCUGUGGGGAGUCAGAGCCUCAAACAGCUGAAACACCGGAGGGAAAGAUUUCCUGCCUGUCUCACUUCCAUCUACAGCACCAUGGUGCACUCAUUAAGGCGUGGGUUGGAAGGUGCUAUAGACAGAUACGCGCACUGGGAGGAUGGAACCUGCUUUUGAACUUAAAACCAUGAAGACACGUGUUUGUAAGACAUUUUGCACCUUUCAAAAACAUUCUCAGAUGUGAACAGGCCAUAGGGAGGUGAUUAUUUCUCUUUUCACAGAGUUAGUUGCCAUGUUGCAGAGAAAUCUCUGAACUCUAAAUCAGGAGCAUCAGUUUAAGUAAUGUCUCUGCUACUAACCAAUUUAUCAAUCUAUGCAAAGUUACUUAACUUUUCCAAUCCGCAGCUUUUUCAGCUCCAAAAUGAAGGCAAUAAAACCAAUGUUAAAGGCACUUGAUUAAAUGAAGAUAUUAAAUGCUUUAUAAAUUUUGAAGUACUAUACACAUCGAUCCAUUAGGAUGAUUAUACUAUGAAAGCGCAGCUCAAGCUGCAAUGAAGCAUCAGAGAAGGCAGGUAGGGCAGUGGGUGCCCCGGAGUUCUGGUCUCUACUCCUUUUUCUCACUCUGUGGCCUGGGGUGAGUCAUUUAACUUUCUUGUGGAUCCAUUAUUUCAUUUAUAAAACGGAAAAUAAUAAAAACUAUUUUGAGAUUAAUUUUGAGGAUUACAUUAGAUAGUGCAGGUAAAGUAUUCUAGCACACAGGCUAGCAUACCAUAAACCUUCA